AUGAAGGGCCCUCUUAUGGUUAGCGAAGAGGGAAGGGAACAAAAUGUUAGGGGUAGAGGAGAGCGCUGGAAAGAGAGGAGGCCUAUUCGCAGCCUUUUAUCCGAUACAAUACGCACCUUACCUGAAGAUCAAAUCCCCCCUGGCGAACUAUUCAUAUUAGAUUCACCGGCAGGAUUCAGGAAGCGUGAAAGCGGUCAGAUGGAAGUUGUUCUUACUUUCGAACGGAGAAGCACCAUCUCCACUCUCCGCGGGGGGAGCUUAUGACGGAGCGUACCUAUCGGUCGUACGUCAAUCAGAUAACGGAACGUGGCACCCGACAAAGUGUUCCCUAUCAGCGGGUGCUCCAAGCCGUCAUAAGCUCUCACCUUCUUUUAGACAGAAGGGAUGGAUGGUCGGUGGUUUUGAUAGUGAAUGA